AGCAGUCGCCGCGGUAAUACGAAGGGUGCAAGCGUUAAUCGGAAUUACUGGGCGUAAAGCGCGCGUAGGUGGUUCAUUAAGUUGGAUGUGAAAGCCCUGGGCUCAACCUGGGAACUGCAUCCAAAACUGGUGAGCUAGAGUACGGUAGAGGGUAGUGGAAUUUCCUGUGUAGCGGUGAAAUGCGUAGAUAUAGGAAGGAACACCAGUGGCGAAGGCGACUACCUGGACUGAUACUGACACUGAGGUGCGAAAGCGUGGGGAGCAAACAGGAUUAGAUACCCCCGUAGUCCCUGUCUCUUAUAC
rnacentral:rRNA from 1 species